AGCUGUAAUUAGUCAGUUUUCU
rnacentral:miRNA from 1 species